UACAGAGGUCCCAAGCGUUGUUCGGAUUCACUGGGCGUAAAGGGUGCGUAGGCGGUCGGGUAAGUCUGAUGUGAAAUCUCACAGCUUAACUGUGAAACUGCAUUGGAUACUAUCCGGCUAGAGGAAUGGAGGGGAGACUGGAAUACUUGGUGUAGCAGUGAAAUGCGUAGAUAUCAAGUGGAACACCAGUGGCGAAGGCGAGUCUCUGGACAUUUCCUGACGCUGAGGCACGAAAGCCAGGGGAGCAAACGGG
rnacentral:rRNA from 1 species